rnacentral:rRNA from 1 species
GACGAACGCUGGCGGCGUGCCUAAUACAUGCAAGUUGAGCGCUGAAGGUUGGUACUUGUACCAACUGGAUGAGCAGCGAACGGGUGAGUAACGCGUGGGGAAUCUGCCUUUGAGCGGGGGACAACAUUUGGAAACGAAUGCUAAUACCGCAUAAAAACUUUAAACACAAGUUUUAAGUUUGAAAGAUGCAAUUGCAUCACUCAAAGAUGAUCCCGCGUUGUAUUAGCUAGUUGGUGAGGUAAAGGCUCACCAAGGCGAUGAUACAUAGCCGACCUGAGAGGGUGGGCGGCCACAAUGGGACGGAGACACGGCCCAAAGUCCUACGGGAGGCAGCAGUAGGGAAACUUCGGCAAUGGACGAAAGUCUGAACGAGCAACGCCGCGUGAGUGAAGAAGGUUUUCGGAUCGUAAAACUCUGUUGGUAGAGAAGAACGUUGGUGAGAGUGGAAAGCUCAUCAAGUGACGGUAACUACCCAGAAAGGGACGGCUAACUACGUG